UGUGUCUCACAGAAACUCACCUUCAAGGCUCCUUUGUUGCAGAGAGUCUCCAUUUAGAGGGCUACAACAUGUUCAAACGCAACAGACACCUGUCCUACACAAAUGUUCCACAAAUAGCCAACAGAGGUGGUGGUGGAGUUGCUGUUUAUGUGAAAAGCCACAUUCAGGUGCGUGAGAAACAGUACGAACAUAAUGUGACCGAUCUUGAGUUUGUGGCUCUGAAGGUAGAAGCCCCAGUGAGAGCCCUGAUUGCAGCUGUGUACAGACCUCCAGACGACAGUGUGAGAUCAUUCCUGUCCAACCUGGGGAGCCUGCUGGACUCAUUGGAGAUCAUGGACUGUCAGCCCAUCAUUGUCUGUGGUGAUUUCAACGAGAAUCUCUUCUCCAACACUGAUAAGCCAAUCCUUGAGCUCUUCCAGUCCAGAGGAUUUGCACAAGUCAUCAGUAAUGCAACCACUGACAAGAACACACUGCUGGACCUCAUUUUCAUAUCUCAACCACAACGCUGUCUCUACUCUGGUGUGAUGAGAACUUAUUACAGUUAUCACAACCCUGUUUACUGUGUCAUGUCAUCUAACAGUCCAUAAAGGUAUCAGGUGAGUUUUAAAGAAAAAUGCAAUGUACUUGUAUAUACAUUGAUGUAAUACAAUGCAUGAUUAUACAGAGGAGGGGGAUCCGCCAUACAGCCGUUUCCAUCUUUCCACCACAGCAGGGCCUCCACUCUGGUACAGUAAAAAACAUGUCACUUGUCACAAUCAUGUUUUCUGUCUACAUUCCUCCAACAGGUCUUAAAAUUGUCAGCUAAGAUCAAAAUCUACUGAGAAUCAUGUACUUUUUUUAAACAAUACCACAUUGUAAUUAGUCUGGGAUUAUGUAAUCUUCAAUGUAAAGAAAACUGAAUCAUCUGGUCAAACUAGUUGUUGCACUGUAAUAAGAUUGUAGAAUGGGCUAAUUUUAAGUGUUCACAGUAUUGGAUAAUAUUAUGGGUCACAUAGUUUUCCAGGUAAACAUGCUAUUUUUAGCAAUAUUUCUAACACAUUCUGGCCUGUGCAUUUAUCAGGGUGGGUUUGGUUCAGCGUUGAUAAAUGCACAGGCCAAAACUCUUUCAGCAGCUGUAUACAAUGUAAAAUUCAUUGUACACAGCUGCUGACAUUUAGUUUAGCAGACGCACAUCAGAAAGUAUGUGUUCUAUAGAACACAUACUUUCUGAUGUACCUACUAGCUGAAACCCCACACUUCCAUCCCCAUUAAUUUAAUUUUAAUUAUCCUGUGUUCUCUGUAGUGUUAAGUUUCCUUUGUAUUGAAAGCAGUCACAAUUGUCAUGUUUCCUAUGUAGUGUUAAGUUUCCUUUGUAUUGAAAGCAGACACAAUUGUCAUGUUUCCUAUGUAGUGCUAAGUUUCCUUUGUAAUGGACAGAAGACACAGUCCUCCUGUGUCCUCUAUAGUGUUACGUUUCCUUUCUGAUGGACAGGAGACAAAGUUCUCAUGUGUCUUUGUAGUGUUAUGUUUCCUUUCUGAUGGACAGGAGACACAGUCCUCCCUUAUCCUCUGUAAAGACACCUUUCAGUCUUGGCCUCACCUCCUUCUGCACUGUGAGGAUCAGCUCACAGCAUCUAAGACAUGACAAAGACUGUAGCACCAACUGAACUGUCAAUCAACCGAGGACCCAUCACAGUUAGACCCCAUAGGGACACAUUUGACUUCCUGCCUGUCCCCGUCAUUCUUCAAAGCAAAGGACGAGAAAACACCUGCCUGUCUUCGCCUCACUUCCUGUCUGGCUCUGAGAUUCGGGAUCAGCUCAUACCGACCAGGACAUCCUGCCACCACUGCAGAGCAGAUGUUGAAGCACCGUGUUAACUGUUCAUCAUCAGUGGACACUUACUGGACCACAGAGACACGUGUUCUCCCUGCCAGUGUUGAGGUUUCUUCACAACAGAUAAUAAGGUCUUCCUCCUCUGUGAUUCCUCCACUUCACAGUGAAGACACUCAGGACUCCAGAGAGCGCUGAACACAAAAGAAGCUGAACAUCAUGCAGCGUAUUCAGUUUCACUGGACCUAUAUGUUGAUCUGCUCUGCAGCAGAGUUCAAGUAUCAGGUGUGUGACUGCAAGGAAGAGUCAUCAGUCAGUCAUCACUGUCCCAGUGAAAACCUCACCUUUAUGCAGCUUCAAGCUCCUCCCUAAACCAGCUGUAAAGGCCUCUCCUCCUCCAUGUAGCUAUAGUAACACUAUCCUGAUGUGAUAACUGGAGCAGUGGAUCUACAGCCACUGCACAGGUCAAAGGUCAUAAUGUUACAGGUCUUCAGAGCAUACACUACUAACUCAUGAACAGUAUUACUACAGGACACCUGUCUAUUUUGUUUGUUUCAUCUCUACCGUAUUUGAUCUAACAAUAUACGUUUUCCUUAUGUUUCAUCGCAUUUUUUUUUGUUGAUUGUAUUUAUUUAUUUAUUAUUUUUUUAUUUGUCAUCCGUCCCUUUUCAGUCAGAUUUAUGAGAAAAUUAAGGAUGAAAAUGUUUGUUUGAUUGCCUCGUGCAUAUGAACAAAUUAACCUUGAAGAAAUGACAUAUUUGUAUCACAAUGAGUCAUUAGUAUGGGGUUUCAGCUGGUAGGUAUAUUAAAGGUUUUUCACAUGUGUACACCGAUCCUUAGGAUAACCUAAACUCUACUGAGGCUGCCCAGUGUUAAAUUGUAAGACUGUGAAAUCCAUCAAGUGUUUCAUCUUCAGAUGGCUAAAACAUGACUUGGUGCAAAGAGCCUUGUCAAAAGAUUUAAUAGGAAAACAAAUCCUACAAAGCUUGGGUCCUAA
ensembl:lncRNA